UUAGUUUAUCGCAUGAUCUUUUGGACCCAUUUGCCUUGUUUAUUCAUCAAAGAAAUUCUCUGGAGAGAUUGGGAUUAACUAGUAGUUAAAAAAUUACGAUUUCAGAUGCAUUAUUCUCGUUGUUCUGAUUGUACAGUCCAAUUGCAGAUCUAGAUUUCCAGUUUUCUUGAUCUGAUCUCUCCUUUUUUCUUAUUAAUUUCCAGGGUCUGGUUUG
rnacentral:misc_RNA from 1 species